UGGCAUACUUUUUUCAAAAAAAAAUUUAGUAAAAUGGAUGAGACCCAUGCAUGCAAAUCAAGUCAAUGAAUGAAAGAUAAAGCCUGUAUCCAAAAAAAAACAAGAAAAAAAACAAAAAACAAAAUGAAAGAUACGGCAAAGACUAUUAGGCUGGCAUAUAGCACCAGAUUCAUACAUCACUGCCUAUGUGGAUAGAUCUUGGCAUAGAUUUUUUUUUAAUUUUUUUUCCUAUAAAAUUGACAGGCAGAUCCAUGCCAAUCUAGUCUGUUAAUGAAAGAUACAGUC
rnacentral:lncRNA from 1 species